AGAGCCACCGGAACAGACAAGCACCGCCGAUGGAGACUGCCGCCGAGGCCAGACCGCCUGGCUCUGCCACCAGCAAGCUCUCAUCGUAGGCUGUUUCUUAUUUGCAAACUACUUCUUAUGGGUGUCCAGGGACCGUGGGACUUACUAAGUGAAAGCCUUUAGAACAGUGUUUGGCACGGGAGUCAAGGAGAAGCAGAUCACCUGUGACUUGGAAGAGGGCCCUCACCAGACCUCGUCACGCUCCCACCUUGAUCUCAGACUUCCAGCCUCCAGAACUGUGUGAGAAAUGUGUCUGGUGAUUAUGAACCACCAAGUGCAUCGUACUUGGUCAUAGCAGCCUGAACAGACUACAGCUAGGUUUGCGUCCGCAAGAUGCCACAUUCCAGAAAACACUUAAAAUGCUGAAAAGGAACUCCACUGAAGAGAUUUCCUAAUGAUAUUUGGACAAGCUCAUCUCCCGGAGUCCUCUUGAAAACAUGAUCGCGUGUCCCUGAAGGGGAGUCAGGCUCAUCCUCAUGGCUGAACAGGGACAGGAAUGGCUGGUGUGGACCCAGGUUCUCUCGGUGAGUUAAGAGAGUCACAGUCUCAGUGGAUCCGGACACUGUGCCUCUGCAGCAGUACCUUGUACAUGAUGUUCACGUCCUCCCCUUUCUGAGUCUUCCUCCCUCAGGGGUCUACCCUAUGCACCAUUCUUUCUCUCCAAAGCCUCAGGAAGGCAUUUUUGAAAAGGCAGCUGGGUCUCUUCCUGAUACAAGAGACCAGGUGACUAGAACAUCUUCUAAAGCCAAAGUAUGAAUGUCCAGUGAUGGCACUGCAGGCAGACAACCGUGCUUCCACAUACAAACAGUAGGGCUGGCCCAGGGUGCGCCACCCACUAGAACAACCUGGACAGCUUUAAAGCAUAGGUUCCUGGACACCACCCUUACUCUAUGGGGGCGGGGCUGGAGAGUAUGUAUUUUUCAAAACAUUCCCAGUGGUCCUCAUGACGCUGAUCACUAUUCUAGAGCCUUGUUGCCUAUGAGAAUUCGGGGCCAUCCUCCUGGGCUGCUGAGUUCAGAGGGCUCUCACUGGGGGCAGAAAGCCAACUUACAGCCAGCAGCAGAGACCAAGCCCCUCACAUGCACGCACACACACACACAC